rnacentral:lncRNA from 1 species
AUGGUUCUCUAUAAUCACUAACAACUCGCCACAUCUUGUGAUCCUUUUGGCUUGUUAGACAAAAUAUCUACAAAGCUAUCCUCACUCGCUAAGUUCGACCAUUAUGCUGAGCAAACAUGAAACCAGAUUCUUGUGUCAAUUUACAAUUAAGUAUACAUAAUGAAACUUGCACACAUUUCAGAAAAAACAGAACGACAUUCAACAAAUCAAUCACAUGAUCUUAAUAUUCCAACAAUUGCACAUAUUAAACAAAGAGAAGAACUACAACAGAUUUAGACUUUAGACAUGCUGAAUCGAAAACUUUACAAGAGUAUAGCAUAAACAAUCUAACUUCAUUUAUGGUUCGAGUAGAAGAUAACAAAAGUGGAUAAACAUACCUACCAGCAGAGAAACAGCAACAGAGAAACAAAGAGAAAUCUGAAUUUCAAAGCUACAGCUCAACCACAGCAGAAUGAAUACAGCAGCAAAAACAAUGAAUUCUUCAACUCAAACAGCUAUGGAAAUCCAAGAGAUAUGCAGCAACAGAGUAGGAAUUAGAAACAGCUUUGAAUCUUUUUUUUUUCUGUAUCUAAAUUGAAUUUCAGAGUGUUUUCUUUGAGAGAAAUCAGCGAGGAUGAGGGAAUAUGCGUGGGAAUGCUGCAGAGAAUCAGUGUGUUUUUCUAAAGAAUACAGAGAUAAAAGAUGCCUCAAAAUGAGUGUGUGAGUGAGUCUUUAAUGUAGAAAAAUGAGGGAAUGUGUGAGAGAAUCUGUCAGCUGAAAAAUAGGAAAGAAGCAUCUAUUUUUUAACAGAUUUUUGGACAGCUGUCCAUUCAGGUUAUUCCUUCCUCUUUUAACAGCCCCUUUAACUUCUGAAUUUACCCCUUUUUACCCUAAAUUUGACCUAAUUUUCCUUAUCUUAUUGCAUUUUAAUCCCUUUAUAGAAGCUUACUACAUAGCUACCUAAGAUUCCCUAUUUUGCUUUCCCAAUUACCCCCUUAAAUUACUGUUUUUUACUCUUUCUCCUUAACUUUCUUUUAAUUCUAUCAGCACCCUUAAUCAAAUCUCAUCACCAAGUCAAGACAUUUGAUUUAUCACUUUAGUAGAGGAGUAAUAGUUCAAACCUGGAGUCAACAGAAUUCACAAACUAAACAGGAUUAAACUCCUAAACACGCUCGAUGAUACUUAAUCACAUGAGAAAACUUUCAGGAAUUCAGAAAUAAUUCAAACAAUGCCUUAAUUAAUCCUAAACAGAGACGGUCAGAACAAUUCAUCAAAUAGACCUAAAACAAAUGAGAACAUACCAACUCAGAAGAUAUACCUUCCACUCCCAACAGGUAGUCAAACAGAAAUUCCGGCGAGCAAUGGACGAGGAUAAAAACUGGCCAGUCAAUCACGAAUUGACCGAAUCUCAAUGACUUCGAAAUGGUCCAAAAUUAACGCUAAUAGAUUGCUCUUGUCAAGAGCAAUCAAUCAACGUAAAUUUCGAGCCAAGUCGAAUUAAACUUACGGAAGAAAAUCGGAAAGGGGCAAAAUGGUUAUGGGAUUUGAACUGAGGAAAGGAUGAGGAUUAUAGGGUGACAUUUUGGGGUGGUGUGGAGUGGUGCCACCGCCAGGGGUAGCUUGUUGUGGUGGUAGGCGGCUAGGGUAAGAGAGUGAGAGAGAUGAGAGAAUGGGAGU